rnacentral:rRNA from 1 species
UACGUAGGGUGCGAGCGUUAAUCGGAAUUACUGGGCGUAAAGCGUGCGCAGGCGGUUGUGCAAGACAGAGGUGAAAUCCCCGGGCUUAACCUGGGAACUGCCUUUGUGACUGCACGGCUAGAGUGUGUCAGAGGGGGGUAGAAUUCCACGUGUAGCAGUGAAAUGCGUAGAGAUGUGGAGGAAUACCGAUGGCGAAGGCAGCCCCCUGGGAUAACACUGACGCUCAUGCACGAAAGCGUGGGGAGCAAACAGG